GCCAGGUGUGGUGGCGCACGCCUGUAGUCCCAGCUACUUGGGAGGUUGAGGUGGGAGGAUUGCUUGAGCUCAGGAGGUAGAGGCUGCAGUGAGCUAUCGUUGUACCACUGCACCCCAGCCUGGGUGACAGAGCAAGACCCUGCCUCUA
ensembl:misc_RNA Metazoa_SRP Metazoan signal recognition particle RNA